rnacentral:rRNA from 2 species
UACGUAGGGAGCAAGCGUUGUUCGGAUUUACUGGGCGUAAAGGGCGCGUAGGCGGCGCGGUAAGUCACUUGUGAAAUCUCUGAGCUUAACUCAGAACGGCCAAGUGAUACUGCAGUGCUAGAGUGCAGAAGGGGCAAUCGGAAUUCUUGGUGUAGCGGUGAAAUGCGUAGAUAUCAAGAGGAACACCUGAGGUGAAGACGGGUUGCUAGGCUGACACUGACGCUGAGGCGCGAAAGCCAGGGGAGCAAACGGG